AUGAAAAUGCCAGAAUCACAAUGUUAUGGUGGCCCUCGUGGCAUCCCACUCUCCUGGCUUCAUGAUACCUUUCAUAUUUUAUCUAGCUACAUUGAUUCUGAGACGAGAAGACAUAUGUUUGCGUAUUUGUUGUGGCUCCUCGGGGUUAUGUUUCCAAAUUCACACGGGGACAUAGUUCUCCCUCGUCUCAUCUACAUUGUAGAGAAGAUGGUAGAUGAAUCUUUACCUGAGCAGCUAAAAUACAGCUUCGAUUCUGUCAUGUUAUCUCAUACAUAUAGAGGCUUGUGUGCUGCCACACAAAAAACUUCCUUUGCACAAAAAGCUCCCUUACUUUGUGUCGCCUACGAGUUUCUACAGUUGUGGUCCUGGGAAUACCUCCUUGUAGGACGACCUUGUAUACUAAAUCCCAUACACCCAUACGACUGUAGCGAGGGCACCAGUGUAACUAUGGCCACCAGGUGGACAAAGGCACGGAAACAUUGGUCUCCAAAUAUUGCGAAAAAUUGUUACCCUAUAUACCACCAGCAGUUUGAGGUACUUAAUGAGGCUGUAAUCACAUGGAACCCAUGGACUCAGGAGCAGUUACAUAUGGUCUUUAAUAUACGACCCAUCACAGCAGGCAUGUUGAGCGAUGGUGCAUUCUGGCUGACUCAUUGCUACUUAUUGUUCUUGUGGUGUGUUGAGCCUUACAACCCAGAGCGUUUCAUGAGACGGUUCGGUCUCUAUCAGGAGAUUCCACCACCUUUUCCAAGAUGUACCGACGAGGAAACCCAUAAACCGUACGAUGGAAGUACAGCUCAAGCGUACAAGCAGUGGUACUGCAUCAGCCCACGUACUAGCCUGACCAGUCAACCAGCUAUGAUACCAACAAAUCUCACACGGGAGGAGCAGAUGUAG
rnacentral:rRNA from 1 species